AUUGAACGCUGGCGGCAGGCCUAACACAUGCAAGUCGAGCGGAUGAAGGGAGCUUGCUCCUGGAUUCAGCGGCGGACGGGUGAGUAAUGCCUAGGAAUCUGCCUGGUAGUGGGGGAUAACGUCCGGAAACGGGCGCUAAUACCGCAUACGUCCUGAGGGAGAAAGUGGGGGAUCUUCGGACCUCACGCUAUCAGAUGAGCCUAGGUCGGAUUAGCUAGUUGGUGGGGUAAAGGCCUACCAAGGCGACGAUCCGUAACUGGUCUGAGAGGAUGACCAGUCACACUGGAACUGAGACACGGUCCUGACUCCUACGGGAGGCAGCAGUGGGGAAUAUUGGACAAUGGGCGAAAGCCUGAUCCAGCCGUGCCGCGUGUGUGAAGAAGGUCUUCGGAUUGUAAAGCACUUUAAGUUGGGAGGAAGGGCAGUAAGUUAAUACCUUGCUGUUUUGACGUUACCGACAGAAUAAGCACCGGCUAGCUUCGUG
rnacentral:rRNA from 1 species